rnacentral:rRNA from 1 species
UGGGGAAUAUUGCACAAUGGGCGAAAGCCUGAUGCAGCGACGCCGCGUGAGGGAUGGAGGCCUUCGGGUUGUAAACCUCUUUCAGUAAGGGUGAAGGCUCUCUUUUGUGGAGGGUUGACAGUACUUGCAGAAGAAGCGCCGGCUAACUACGUGCCAGCAGCCGCGGUAAUACGUAGGGCGCGAGCGUUGUCCGGCAUGAUUUGGCGUAAAGGGCGCGUAGGCGGCGUGUCGCGUCUGCUGUGAAAUUCCAGGGCUUAACUUUGGGAUUGCAGUAGGUACGGGCGUGCUAGAGUGCAGUAGGGGAGAUAGGAAGUCCUGGGGUAGCGGUGGAAUGCGCAGAUAUCAGGAGGAACACCGGUGGCGGAGGCGGGUCUCUGGGGUGUUACUGACGCUGAGGAGCGAAAACGUGGGGAGCGGACAGG